rnacentral:snRNA from 1 species
AUUUCAAUGGCAGCCAUUGUAA